rnacentral:rRNA from 1 species
GAUGAACGUUGGCGGUGUGCCUAAUACAUGCAAGUCGAACGGAGAUUGUAGCAAUACGGUCUUAGUGGCGAACGGGUGAGUAACGCGUUGGUGAUCUGCCUCGAAGUGUGGAAUAACGAUUCGAAAGAAUCGCUAAUACCGCAUAGUCUCUCUUUUUCCAGAAAUUUGAGAGUAAAGGAUUUAUUCGCUUUGAGAGGAGCCUGCGUCCCAUCAGCUAGUUGGUAAGGUAAUGGCCUACCAAGGCGAUGACGGGUAGGGGACCUGAGAGGGUGGCCCCCCAAAUGGAACUGAAACACGGUCCAUACACCUACGGGUGCAGCAGUAGGGAAUAUUAGAAAUGGACGAAAGUCUGAUCUAGCAACACCGCGUGUGCGAAGAAGGCCUUCGGGUUGUAAAGACACUUUUGUAGAGGAUGAGGAAGGACGGUACUCUCAGAAUAAAGUCUCGGCUAACUACGUG